CGGGCAUGGCGGGGUGCUAUACAUGCAGUCGAGCGAACGGACGAGAGUGCUUGCACUCUCUGAUGUUAGCGGCGGACGGGUGAGUAACACGUGGGUAACCUACCUAUAAGACUGGGAUAACUUCGGGAAACCGGAGCUAAUACCGGAUAAUAUUUAGCUUCGCAUGAAGCAAUAGUGAAAGACGGUUCUGCUGUCACUUAUAGAUGGACCCGCGGUGUAUUAGCUAGUUGGUGAGGUAACGGCUCACCAAGGCAACGAUACAUAGCCGACCUGAGAGGGUGAUCGGCCACACUGGGACUGAGACACGGCCCAGACUCCUACGGGAGGCAGCAGUAGGGAAUCUUCCGCAAUGGACGAAAGUCUGACGGAGCAACGCCGCGUGAGUGAAGAAGGUUUUCGGAUCGUAAAACUCUGUUGUAAGGGAAGAACAAGUACGUUAGUAACUGAACGUACCUUGACGGUACCUUACCAGAAAGCCACGGCUAACUACGUGCCAGCAGCCGCGGUAAUACGUAGGUGGCAAGCGUUAUCCGGAAUUAUUGGGCGUAAAGCGCGCGUAGGCGGUCUCUUAAGUCUGAUGUGAAAGCCCCCGGCUCAACCGGGGAGGGUCAUUGGAAACUGGGAGACUUGAGUGCAGAAGAGGAGAGUGGAAUUCCAUGUGUAGCGGUGAAAUGCGCAGAGAUAUGGAGGAACACCAGUGGCGAAGGCGGCUCUCUGGUCUGUAACUGACGCUGAGGUGCGAAAGCGUGGGGAUCAAACAGGAUUAGAUACCCUGGUAGUCCACGCCGUAAACGAUGAGUGCUAAGUGUUGGGGGGUUUCCGCCCCCUCAGUGCUGCAGCUACGCAUUAGCACUCCGCCUGGGGAGUACGGUCGCAGACUGAACUCAAAGGAAUUGACGGGGACCCGCACAGCGGUGGAGCAUGUGUUUAUUCGAAGCAACGCGAGAACCUACCAAAUCUGACAUCCUUUGGACACUCUGAAGAUAGAGCUUCCCUUCGGGGACAAGUGACAGGUGGUGCAUGUUGUCGUCAGCUCUGUUCGUGAGAGUGGGUAGGUCCCGCACGAGGGCACAUUAACUUUAGUUGCAUCAUAGUGGGUCCCUCUAGAGACUGCGUUCAAACGGAGGUCGAAUACGCUCAUUCUAGCCUUGGAAUUGGCUAACGUUCCAAUUGGAUGUCCAAGGGCGAGCA
rnacentral:rRNA from 1 species